UGCGACCCCAGGUCAGGCGGGACUACCCGCUGGUUUA
rnacentral:rRNA from 1 species